UACGAAGGGGGCUAGCGUUGCUCGGAAUCACUGGGCGUAAAGGGUGCGUAGGCGGGUCUUUAAGUCAGGGGGGAAAUCCUGGAGCUCAACUCCAGAACUGCCUUUGAUACUGAGGAUCUUGAGUUCGGGAGAGGUGAGUGGAACUGCGAGUGUAGAGGUGAAAUUCGUAGAUAUUCGCAAGAACACCAGUGGCGAAGGCGGCCAACUGGUCCGGUACUGACGCUGAGGUGCGAAAGCGUGGGGAGCAAACAGG
rnacentral:rRNA from 1 species